rnacentral:rRNA from 1 species
GACGAACGCUGGCGGCGUGCUUAACACAUGCAAGUGGAGCGACGAACCGGGGCUUGCCCCGGGGCAAAGCCGCGAACGGGUGAGUAACACGUGGGUAACCUGCCCUGUUGAUUGGGACAACCCCGGGAAACCGAGGCUAAUACCAAAUGUGCUCCUUCCACAUCAGUGGAUUGAGGAAAGGAGGCUUCGGCUUCCGCAACGGGAUGGGCCCGCGGCCCAUUAGCUUGUUGGUGGGGUAACGGCCCACCAAGGCUCCGAUGGGUAGCUGGUCUGAGAGGACGAUCAGCCACACUGGGACUGAGACACGGCCCAUACUCCUACGGGAGGCAGCAGUGGGGAAUCUUGCGCAAUGGGCGAAAGCCUGAUGCAGCGACGCCGCGGGCGGGAAGAAGGCCUUAGGGUUGUAAACCGCUUUCAGGAGGGACGAAGCCACUCGGGUUAAUAGCCCAGAGGGUGACGGUACCUCCAGAAGAAGCCCCGGCUAACUACGUGCCAGCAGCCGCGGUAAGAC